GGACUCCUGUCUCAAGAGCCAAGCUCCCCAGACCCACUAAUGGACUAAGUAAUGUUUCUGUUGGUGACUCUAAGCAAGGAAAACAAAUAAGGCAAAGAAGGAGGUAAAAGAGACAAGUAAGACAUCUGAGAACCUGCAAUGACUCUUGGGAAGACAUCAAAGCAGAAAAAGAAAGAAGUGGCAAGUGACAAAAGAGAUGUUUUUGACCUUCGUGGAGAAGAAGUUUGGUGGUGGGGCAGGAGCAGAAGUUAGAACUCGGGAUUUCUUUGUUCACCUUGGCUGCGAAGCCACCCAUAUAUGACCAGUGUUGAAACUCAUUGCACCAGGCCAACCAAUUAGUCUGUAUUGGCCCCAUAAACUUUGAGCUGACAAGUAUCAAGUGAAAGGUUCUUGAGAAUAAGACUGAAAAAUCCUUCUUACUUCCCCCUACAAAAAAAAUUCUCCAGCCCCAGAAUGUUAUUCCUUCCCAAGAAACACAAAUUAACUAGCUGCACUAAUGACCUCCAGACCAACACAAACCCAUUUCCCCUUGAAAUUAACCUUCUAUUCUGAAUCUAAACAGUGUCUAAUUAGCCCCAAACACUGGUGAGCUAACUGGAAGAGAAGAAUGUAGGAAAUCAAAACAAGGGGAUAGUUUUACGGUUGGAAAAAAAAAAAUAGCGAAAAGCCAUCCUCCAAUUAUCCUAUCCUUCUAACCUCCGCCCCCAGAUCCUUAUCCUGCAUCUUCAUUUGUCUUCCUUUCCGUAAACCUUGUAAAGGAGUCUGCUUUUCAGACAAAUAUUUUUCCCAGCUCAUUUGACACCUAGAAGGCAGGAAAAAUAUUGCCCAUCACGAUAAAUAUAAUAUUCCAAUUUUCCAGCAUUUGACAGCAAUCAAGGGAAGAGUAAUGUGUUCCCUCUGUGACUAAAUCAUUUAGAGACCAAGGUAUUCUGUCUCAUUCUCAUUAGGAAAAAAAAAUAUUCCAAUAAUCUCAUUAUCCCAGUGUGAAUAACAGUAAAAAAGCACCAAGACUAAUGACUUCUUCCGCGCUUGCCUCCGCAGAUACCAGCCCAGGCCGUGCUUUUAUAGGCAAUGCUUGGGUAAUGGAGUCUCCCUUAGCAGCGAUCCUGUAGCAUCUGCUGCUCUGAAAGCCCUGCCUAACACAUUCUGCUUUGUCUGCAGCAAGGUUUACACACACCCCUGGACUCCAAAGACUCUUUUUUAUGUACUUUUUAAAAAACUAACUCCAAUGGAAAAAGAAUGUGUCAUGGCAUGUUAAACUUUAUGGAAAUUCUUCUGGAGAAUAACAUAAUUUCACGGUGCAUUACUCUGAAAUGACCUAGUACUUGAACAAUUAAUUUUUAAGGUGUAGCAUUGACUUCCCCUUGCUGUAUUUAACCCAUAUCUGAAAUUGUCAACAAUGCCAAGGGUUGGACAAUGAGUUGGGAGAAGAGCAGGAGCCUGAAAAUUACUCCCUAUCUACUAUGUUUUCUUUUAUCAGACAUAAUGCUUCCCUCUUUGGUUCAAAAAUGAAAAGAGAAGGGAGCAGGUACUUUAGUUAGGGACACUUCAUAGGCAGCACAGCCUGGCAGGUAAAUAGUGCAGUCCUGGAGACAUAAACUCGACGUCUUACCUUUGUCAUUAAUUUACUGUGUAGCCUUAGAGAAACUCCUUUUUCUCUCUGUAGCUAAAAUGGGGGAAGGAGAGGUUUUGUUUGUUAUGCCCCCAAAAGGAAUUCAGUGAUAGAAAAUGAAUAGAUG
ensembl:lncRNA novel transcript